rnacentral:rRNA from 1 species
GGCGGACGGGUGAGUAAUAUAUAGUUAACCUGCCCUCGAGAAAGGAAUAACAGUUGGAAACGACUGCUAAUGCCCUAUAUGCCUUUAAGACAUAAGUCUGCAAGGGAAAUGCUUUUGUGCUCGAGGAUGGGACUGUACGGUAUCAGAUAGUUGGUGGGGUAAUGGCCUACCAAGUCAAUGACGCCUAACUGGUUUGAGAGGAUGAUCAGUCACACUGGAACUGAGACACGGUCCAGACUCCUACGGGAGGCAGCAGUGGGGAAUAUUGCACAAUGGAGGAAACUCUGAUGCAGCAACGCCGCGUGGAGGAUGACACAUUUCGGUGCGUAAACUCCUUUUAUAUAGGAAGAUAAUGACGGUACUAUAUGAAUAAGCGCCGGCUAACUCCGUGCCAGCAGCCGCGGUAAUACGGAGGGCGCAAGCGUUACUCGGAAUCACUGGGCGUAAAGAGCGUGUAGGCGGAUAGAUAAGUCAGAAGUGAAAUCCUAUGGCUCAACCAUAGAACUGCUUUUGAAACUGUUUAUCUAGAGUGUGGGAGAGGUAGAUGGAAUUUCUGGUGUAGGGGUAAAAUCCGUAGAGAUCAGAAGGAAUACCGAUUGCGAAGGCGAUCUACUGGAACAUAACUGACGCUGAGACGCGAAAGCGUGGGGAGCUUCAGGAUUAGAUACCCUGGUAGUCCACGCCCUAAAGGGUCCCCUAGUUGUUGUGAGGCUUGACCU